rnacentral:tRNA from 1 species
GCGGAGUUGCCGGAGUGGUCAAACGGGGUGGACUCAAGAUCCACUGGCUUAGUGCCUACGCAGGUUCGAACCCUGCACUCCGCA